rnacentral:rRNA from 1 species
AACCUCCGCAAUGUGAGAAAUCGCGACGGGGGGGUCCCAAGUGCCAUUCUUAACGGGAUGGCUUUUCAUUAGUGUAAAGAGCUUUUGGAAUAAGAGCUGGGCAAGACCGGUGCCAGCCGCCGCGGUAACACCGGCAGCUCUAGUGGUAACAAUUUUUAUUGGGCCUAAAGCGUCCGUAGCCGGUUUAAUAAGUCUCUGGUGAAAUCCUGCAGCUUAACUGUGGGAAUUGCUGGAGAUACUAUUAGACUUGAGACCGGGAGAGGUUAGAGGUACUCCCAGGGUAGAGGUGAAAUUCUGUAAUCCUGGGAGGACCGCCUGUUGCGAAGGCGUCUAACUGGAACGGUUCUGACGGUGAGGGACGAAAGUUAGGGGCGCGAACCGGAUUAGAUACCCGGGUAGUCCUAACUGUAAACGAUGCGGACUUGGUGUUGGGGUGGCUUUGAGCUGCUCCAGUGCCGAAGGGAAGCUGUUAAGUCCGCCGCCUGGGAAGUACGGUCGCAAGACUGAAACUUAAAGGAAAU